GGGGAUUACUCUCUCCAUUAGACUCAGUGUGGAGUUUCCUCCUCCUACUUGUGACCCACCCUGCCCAGGAGGAAAAAUCAGGAAGGGCCCACUGCAUACAGGCAAUGCCAGUGUCUACUUGGCAAAGCCUGAAGAAAGUCCUGUAUAAAUGCAAAUAUCACGUCCGGGCACAGGGAGGAUGCGUGCCCUGUAGCCAUGAACCUGUCAUUCCCACUCCACUCAGCCUCCAGCCAGGGCGGGGAACCUGAGUCAGUGUCCAAUCAGGGGGGCUGGGGACCGUGCACACUGUUCAGUCAGGUGUGAAGCUGUCACCCGCAGGUGCUGGGCUUCGUUGCUGUUUCUGGCAGAGUCCUGCUUCUCGCGCCCGCUGCACUGGGUUUGGCGUCUCUGCUGUUCGCUGAGAUCUGCACACUCCAGGAGCCAUAGGGAGGACGCCAGGACAGCCCCGAAGACGAGAAUGCCUCGCUCCUCCUAGGACGGGAGGAAAAUCCCACAAAUCCUGUCUACUCCAAGCAGCCGCGCCCCUCGGGAGACCACCCCAGUUGGAGGGGCCCACUCCAGCCACCGCUACACCGGGACGCGCUCCUCCUCCCCCUGUGCCCGCCCCUUCUCGUGAGGGACCACCAGGAGGCCCCUCGAUUCCCCAGCAAAACACAGGUUUUGGAGCCAGAGUUUCUGAGUUUGAAUGUUUGGUCUGCUAC
rnacentral:lncRNA from 10 species